UAGGGAAUCUUCGGCAAUGGACGAAAGUCUGACCGAGCAACGCCGCGUGAGUGAAGAAGGUUUUCGGAUCGUAAAACUCUGUUGUUAGAGAAGAACAAGGACGUUAGUAACUGAAUGUCCCCUGACGGUAUCUAACCAGAAAGCCACGGCUAACUACGUGCCAGCAGCCGCGGUAAUACGUAGGUGGCAAGCGUUGUCCGGAUUUAUUGGGCGUAAAGCGAGCGCAGGCGGUUUCUUAAGUCUGAUGUGAAAGCCCCCGGCACAACCGGGGAGGGUCAUUGGAAACUGGGAGACUUUAGUGCAGAAGAGGAUAGUGUAAUUCCAUGUGUAGCGGUGAAAUGCGUAGAUAUAUGGAGGAACACCAGUGGCGAAGGCGGCUCUCUGGUCUGUAACUGACGCUGAGGCUCGAAAGCGUGGGGAGCAAACAGG
rnacentral:rRNA from 1 species